GUUGUAGAUCAGUGGUAGAGUGCUUGCCUUGCACACGUGAGGCCCUGGGUUUCAAUCCUCAGCCCAACA
rnacentral:tRNA from 1 species